UUGACCUCAAAUCAGGUAGGACUACCCGCUGAACUUAAGCAUAUCAAUAAGCGGAGGAAAAGAAACUAACAAGGAUUCCCCUAGUAACUGCGAGUGAAGCGGGAUAAGCUCAAAUUUGAAAUCUGGCAGUCUUUUUUUUCUUCUUUGGCUGUCCGAGUUGUAAUCUAGAGAAGUGCUACCUGCACUGGACCAUGUAUAAGUCUCCUGGAAUGGAGCCUCAUAGAGGGUGAGAAUCCCGUCUUUGACAUGGACUGCCAGUGUGUUGUGGUGUGCUCUCAAAGAGUCGAGUUGUUUGGGAAUGCAGCUCUAAAUGGGUGGUAAACUCCAUCUAAAGCUAAAUAUUGGCGAGAGACCGAUAGCGAACAAGUACCGUGAGGGAAAGAUGAAAAGGACUUUGGAAAGAGAGUUAAACAGUAUGUGAAAUUGUUGAAAGGGAAACGCUUGAAGUCAGUUAUGUUGGCUAGGGAUCAACCUAGCUAUUUUUGCUGGGUGAAUUUCCUAGUUUGACAGGCCAACAUCAGUCUUGACUGCUGGAAAAGAGCAGAGGGAAUGUGGCACCUUUGGGUGUGUUAUAGCCUUUUGUCAUAUGUGGCAGUUGGGACUGAGGGAUGCAGCGUGCCGCGAGGCUGGGUUUCGACCACGUUCACGCUUAGGAUGUUGGCUUUUAAUGGCUUCAAUCGACCCGUCUUGAAACACGGACCAAGGAGUCUAACAUGCCUGCGAGUGUUUGGGUGGAAAACCCUUGUGCACAAUGAAAGUGAAAGUUGAGAUCCCUGUCAUGGGGAGCAUCGACGCCCGGACUGGAGCUUUUAGCAAUGGAUCCGCGGUAGAGCAUGCAUGUUGGGACCCGAAAGAUGGUGAACUAUGCCUGAAUAGGGCAAAGCCAGAGGAAACUCUGGUGGAGGCUCGUAGCGAUUCUGACGUGCAAAUCGAUCGUCAAAUUUGGGUAUAGGGGCGAAAGACUAAUCGAACCAU
rnacentral:rRNA from 1 species